GGAGUAGGUAGCUCAGUAGGUAGAGCACCAGGUUGUGGCUCUGGUGGUCGUGGGUUCGAAUCCCAUCUUACUCCC
rnacentral:tRNA from 1 species